rnacentral:rRNA from 1 species
CCUACGGGAGGCAGCAGUGAGGAAUAUUGGUCAAUGGGCGAGAGCCUGAACCAGCCAAGUCGCGUGAGGGAGUACUGCCCUAUGGGUUGUAAACCUCUUUUGUCGGGGAGCAAAAGCCGGACGUGUCCGGCUGUGAGAGUACCCGAAGAAACAGCAUCGGCUAACUCCGUGCCAGCAGCCGCGGUAAUACGGAGGAUGCGAGCGUUAACCGGAUUUAUUGGGUUUAAAGGGUGCGCAGGCGGAUUUUUAAGUCAGCGGUAAAAUCGUGGGGCUCAACCCCAUCCAGCCGUUGAAACUGGGGAUCUAGAGUGUGCGAGAGGUAGGCGGAAUGCGUGGUGUAGCGGUGAAAUGCAUAGAUAUCACGCAGAACCCCGAUUGCGAAGGCAGCAUACCGGUGCACAACUGACGCUCAGGCACGAAAGCGUGGGUAUCGAACAGGAUUAGAUACCCUGGUAGUC